rfam:Oryza glumipatula chromosome 5, whole genome shotgun sequence.
AAUAAAUGCAGUUUUGGUACUGUUCAUGUCCAACGUUUGACUGUUCGUCUUAUUUAAAAAAAAUUAUGAUUAGUAUUUUUAUUGUUAUAACAUGAUAAAACAUGAAUAGUACUUUAUGUGUGACUAUUUUUUUAAAAUUUUUUCAUAUAUUUUUUUAAAUAAGACGGACGGUCAAAAUGCUGAACACGGAUAUCUAUGGCUGCACUUAUU